CCUCUUCUAGAACGCAAGUGACUUCUGCAGGAGCUGACACGUAAACAGUGCCCUGGAGACGACUGGCUCCGGCAACCCUUCCUAAAGCGACUGCCUGCGCCCCAAAAAUGAGAUCGGUGCUCCUUCGGGGAUUAAUUAAUCAAUACGUUCCACAGGUACUGAUGGAGAUUUUGCAGGUGCCAGGCACUGUCCUGGGUGCCCCGGGACACAUCCGUGGACCCUGGGCACCUGCGGGCGAGUGGCGAGGAUCUCACCGCGGCAUCGCUUACCUGCCUCGGGGCUGUGGCCCUCCCCCACCUGGCUGCCCCCCUGGGCCGGGUCCCCCCACCCCGGCUGCCCACCCUGGCCUGUCCCCUUGCCUUCCGGAUCAGGGCAGCCCGUGGACCAGGCACUCUGUCAGCCUGUCCAAAUUUGAGUCACUUCUCUCUCGGGACAGCAGGGUGACCUUGCCUGUGGGCCCCGGGAGCUAAGAAUAGCCCGGGGAGCUGAGAACCCGCCGUCGCCCCUCCCAGCCCUGUGUGCGGCCGGGGCGAAAGGACCCUGUCGCCCGCGGAGGGGACAGCUGCUCCCGGCAUGUUUGGGCGCGCGGCUGAGCCCUGCCAGCUGUUCGGAAGAGGAGAGGAGCCAAAGGAAGGGGGGAGUUUCCGACUCCAAAAGUGCCGAGCCCACGCUUGGCCGCUGUGCCGCCUGGAGUACCGGGAAGGUGCCUGAGCCCUGGCUCUGCCUGUCAUCGGGUUUAGGACGCAGACCCGCCCAGGGAGAGGAUGGCCAUCUGGAAGCCAAAGAGAGAGGCUCAGAAGAAGCCGGCCCUGCAGACACCUUGACCUUGGACUGCCUGCCUCCAGAGACAACAGAUGACGGCUCUUCACCCAGAGGAUCCCAAAUGCUCAAUGGCUCCCGGCAUCCCUGACGGGGGCAAAGCCAGAGUUUGCUGCCCCCGGGCCGGGCGUCUGCCCCUGGGGGCCGUUUGCAAGGAAGCAUCUGGGCACAGAUGUUAUUGUGGGCACAAAUCAUGGGCAGGAACGGCCAAGUGAGCUGUGCAGGUCCGCUCCACGGAGGCCCGGCCCCGAUGGACCCUCUUUCUAGGCUGUCUGUGUGUUUCUCCUAGCACCUUAAGUGAGGCAGAGAGUUUUGUCUCUAUUUCGCGAGGCUAAAGAGCAGGCCUGGGACCACUCAGCCAGAGGGCGGCAGUGCCUGGGGCGACCCCGAGAAGGAAAUACACGGGGCACGGGGGCGGGGGUGGGGGUGGAGGGAGCCCAGCCCGGGGCACUGACGGGAGACAGGCGUCCCUGAGGGCGUCCAUGCAGGUUAGGGCGGUGGGGUCACGGGAGCUCUCGAACACUCCUCACCCGCUGUUGUGCAGUGACCGCGUGCUCGAGGCGCGUGAGGCCUGGGGCAGCCCCAGCCCCCUGGAGGGGCCAGCCGCUGGGUCAGGGACACUGGCCCGGCUGGUGGGGAGGGUUCCCUGCGGAGCGGGCUGGGCUGGCGGCACCUGGACAGCACCCGGCGCUCUUCUAGGGCCUUCCGGAAUCCUUCUCCGGCUCCUGCCUGGACCCCCUUCGGCCGACGCCGAGUCGGCCCUGCUCGGGGGGUGCUGGGGGACGCAGGGCCAGAUGGUGGCCGGAUUAGAAGACGGGUGGGUCCUAGAAGCCGGGGCAGAGGGCAGAGCAUGGCCCAGAGGCUGCAGGCUGCGGAGCUCGUGGGGGGUGUCUCCAAAGACUGCUCAGGGGGCCCGGCCCCAGCUCACGGCCGCCUCUCCUCACCAUCUGCCCGGCAAUGCGACGGAAGGGGGACAGAGGAGAAACGAGGCAAGCCCCUGGCCCCUAAACCAGCUGAGCUGAGCCGUCGCAGGCGGGAGCUUUAGAUUCCAUGAGAUUCUCCUGCUAAGCACCUGCGACGUGUGUGUGAACCUGGGAAGAACGAGUCUCUCAAAUAAAUAAAUAAACUUUUUUUUUUU